rnacentral:rRNA from 1 species
AUUGAACGCUGGCGGAAUGCUUUACACAUGCAAGUCGAACGAUGAACCUUAGCUUGCUAAGGGAAUUAGUGGCGAACGGGUGAGUAAUGUAUCGGAACGUAUCCAAUAAUGGGGGAUAACUAGUCGAAAGAUUAGCUAAUACCGCAUACGUCCUACGGGAGAAAGCUAGGGACCUUCGGGCCUGGCGUUAAUGGAGCGGCGGAUAUCUGAUUAGCUAGUUGGUGGGGUAAAGGCUCACCAAGGCGACGAUCAGUAGCUGGUCUGAGAGGACGACCAGCCACACUGGAACUGAGACACGGUCCAGACUCCUACGGGAGGCAGCAGUGGGGAAUUUUGGACAAUGGGCGAAAGCCUGAUCCAGCCAUUCCGCGUGAGUGAAGAAGGCCUUCGGGUUGUAAAGCUCUUUCGCAAGGGAAGAAAACUUAAGCUCUAACAUAGCUUGAGGUUGACGGUACCUUGAUAAGAAGCACCGGCUAACUACGAGCCAGCCGCCGCCGUAA